rnacentral:rRNA from 1 species
AGCGCAACCCUUAUUGUUAGUUGCCAUCAUUCAGUUGGGCACUCUAGCGAGACUGCCGGUAAUAAACCGGAGGAAGGUGGGGAUGACGUCUAAUCAUCAUGCCCCUUAUGACCUGGGCUACACACGUGCUACAAUGGUUGGUACAACGAGUCGCAAGUCGGUGACGGCAAGCAAAUCUCUUAAAGCCAAUCUCAGUUCGGAUUGUAGGCUGCAACUCGCCUACAUGAAGUCGGAAUCGCUAGUAAUCGCGGAUCAGCACGCCGCGGUGAAUACGUUCCCGGGCCUUGUACACACCGCCCGUCACACCACGAGAGUUUGUAACACCCGAAGUCGGUGAGGUAACCGUAAGGAGCCAGCCGCCUAAGGUGGGAUAGAUGAUUGGGGUGAAUCGUACAGGCG